rnacentral:SRP_RNA from 1 species
GCCAGGCGUGGUGGCAUACACCUGUAGUCCCAGCUACUUGGGAGGCUGAGGCAGGAGAAUCACUUGAACCUGAGAGACUGAGGUUGCAGUGAGCUGAGAUGGCACCACUGCACUCCAGCCUAGGCGAAAAAACAGACUCCAUCUAANNNNNNNNNNUUAGAUGGAGUCUGUUUUUUCGCCUAGGCUGGAGUGCAGUGGUGCCAUCUCAGCUCACUGCAACCUCUGCCUCCCAGGUUCAAGCUAUUCUCCUGCCUCAG